ncrna:unclassified sequences drum RNA
AUAUGUUGACAAUAAAUGCUGUACUGCUAUCAGUGUUUAUUCGAGUAUUCAAAGGUAUGCUUAACCCUAAAGCAGUGUAGCGAAAAACGUGAAAGAAAAGCACUUGU